rnacentral:rRNA from 1 species
AACACGGACCAAGGAGUUUAGCGUGUGCGCAAGUCAUUGGGUGACAAAACCCAAAGGCGAAAUGAAAGUGAAGGAAACUUUACGUUUCUGAGGGAGGAUGGGUUUGGCCCCUUCAAGGGCCGCCUCGCACUCCCGGGGCGUCUCUAUCUCAUUGCGAGAGGAGGCGCACCCAGAGCGUACACGCUGAUACCCGAAAGAUGGUGAACUAUGCCUGGCCAGGACGAAGCCAGGGGAAACCCUGGUGGAGGUCCGCAGCGAUUCUGACGUGCAAAUCGAUCGUCGGAGCUGGGUUUAGGGGCGAAAGACCAAUCGAACCAUCUAGUAGCUGGUUCCCUCUGAAGUUUCCCUCAGGAUAGCUUGCGCUCGGACGAGACGAGUCUCAUCCGGUAGAGCGAAUGAUUAGAGGCCUUGGGGUCGAAACGACCUCAACCUAUUCUCAAACUCCAAAUAGAUGAGAACCCCGGCUUUCUUGAAUUUUUCAUGAUGAAGCCGGGGGCUUGGAUCAGAGUGCCAAGUGGGCCAAUUUUGGUAAGCAGAACUGGC